UGUCGCUUGGCAAAAAUUAAGCCGAAAUCUGGAUUAGUCUAGUAGCUCCGCAUGAGCGAAAAAUUAAUAGGCAAAAAAAGAU
rnacentral:sRNA from 12 species